ensembl:lncRNA
GAGAUGGAUGGAGAAUUAUUCACCAUUUCAGAGCAGGAUUGUGCCAGCGCAUCUGAAUCUGGCUGGAGGAAUGAGACAGGAAAAAGGAAAGGAAAACAAGGGGAGAAAAGAAAGAUGAAUCAACAAAAUAGUAGCAAGAAGAAAAUAGCCAGAAGUAAAAACUCUAGGCUUCCAGACCUGAAGAAGAUGAAUGCUGAAUCAGUUAUGAAGCAGAUUAAGCCAGAAUGUGAACUGAAGGAAAUCUGCUCAGAAACUGAUUUUAAUGAAGAUGACAGAAAGAGAAUGAAAGAACAAAGCAAAAAGCAAAGAUGCUUCAAGCAGAGUAACAACAAGAGGCCAUUUUCACACCAAAUGUCCAGUGUAAACAGGCAGACCAAGAAUAAAAAUGACACGGGUAACUAAUGCUUUAAUACUUAAGUUUUCUUUUUUUCUUCCCAAUUAUGUCAUACAUUUCCUAUAAUUUUUGGGUUAUUUGUUUUUUUUUUUAAUCUAAAGAGUAAUUUUGUGCUGUUUUUGUAUGAUUGUAUCCUGAGAAAAUAUUCUUCUAUUCUAUUUUUUUUUUUUUNCUAACAGAUGUCUUUCAAGAAGUCAGAAAUAAGAAACAACUGGCUGUUCGUUGUGGAAAAAUGGCAGGUUGUCUGUACAGAAUAAAAUAUGACAAUGGAGAGAAGUGUAUUUCAUGUAAAGGGAAAUGGUUUACGCCCGGACAGUUUGAGGAGUUUGGAGGAAAAGGGCAUCACAAGAAGUGGAAGGGUAGCAUCUAUUACAAGCCAUCAAAUGGCCUUCAACAAGUUAAAUUGCUGAAACUCAUACAAAAUGGGUGUCUUUCAGAAUUUGGACAACUGAGAGAGUCAAAUAGACAGGUGACACAGACAGAUAGAGACGGUGCGAACUCAGUGCAAAAUGUAACAAGGAGGAGUGAAUUAAUUAACUCCUUAAAAGGUUUUCCAGAGUCCUGGAAAAGACUGUUUUCCAAGACUCUGGAAAUACCUGUGUGUGGAAUUGACAAGAAAACAAUCCUGCCGGACAGUUCUUCGGAAGAGUCUGUAUCUGUUGCUGAGAGAGUCAAAAUGAACAGGAGAGAAUCUGUGAUUUUAGCUGAAACUGUCAGUAAAAAGAUGACAGAACCGGUAGAAUCUACUGCCAAUGCUAGAGAUUCAUCUGCACCUCCCACUGAUGCUACAGAACCUGCAGUAUCUCCUGUCAUAGAGGAGGCCAGUCAGACCACAGAUGAAGCAGCAGCUCAGCUGAACUUCAGUGAUUCUCCUGCUGACUGGCAGAAUCCUGUUGUUUCUGAAGAGACUGAGAAGACCAGCCAGAUGCAGCUAUUUGAAUUUCUGGCAAACCAGUUUAAUACUAUCAAUAACACCCUACAAUCAAUUGAUUUGUCUUUAAAGAAGCUGGUGGAAAAACAGUCACAAAACACACUGCCUCAAUACAUCAGUCUAACUCCUGCUGUUAUUGAAAAUCCCCAGAUUAACUCCUUAGUCAAGAAGGAGCAAAUUACGGAAGUUUUAAAUAGUCAAGUAGACUAA